GUCCAACUACCUCAUGGUGCAAUGAAUCAGUGUGUCCGGCUGUUAACCGGAAGGUUGGUGGUUCGAGCCCACCCAGGGACA